rnacentral:RNase_P_RNA from 1 species
ACGGUGAGCCGUCUUAUCGCUGCCCUUUUUGAGGGGAGAGGAAAGUCCGGGCAACACAGAGCAUCCUACUUCCUAACAGGAAGGGUCUGUUUUGGAGACGAAACAGAUACAGCCAGUGCCACAGAAAAUUACCGCCGGGCUAAUUAAUAAUGAUUAAUUAAUAAUGAAUAAUUAGUCAUUCAUCAUUAUUCACUAAAAAUUAGUCCGGUAAGGGUGAAAAGGUGCGGUAAGAGCGCACCAGCGGCUGGGUGACCAGUCCGGCUGGGUAAACCUUAGGAGUUGAAAGACCAAAUAGGCCGGCAGCGCCUCGCUUAGGCGGGGCUAAGGGCUGCUCGUCCGAUGUCGGUGGGUAGGUCGAUGGAGCCUGUGCGCGAGUGCAGGCCUAGAUAAAUGAUAAGACGCACGCCUCCGGGCGUAGCGACAGAACCCGGCUUACAGGCUCAUCGUUGAU